GGGUUGUGAGGUUAAGCGACUAAGCGUACACGGUGGAUGCCCUGGCAGUCAGAGGCGAUGAAGGACGUGCUAAUCUGCGAAAAGCGUCGGUAAGGUGAUAUGAACCGUUACAGCCGGCGAUGUCCGAAUGGGGAAACCCAGUGCAAUUCGUUGCACUAUCGUUAACUGAAUACAUAGGUUAACGAGGCGAACCGGGGGAACUGAAACAUCUAAGUACCCCGAGGAAAAGAAAUCAACCGAGAUUCCCCAGUAGCGGCGAGCGAACGGGGAGCAGCCCAGAGUCUGAAUCAGCUUGUGUGUUAGUGGAACGGUCUGGAAAGUCCGACGGUACAGGGUGAUAGUCCCGUACACCAAAAUGCACAGGCUGUGAACUCGAAGAGUAGGGCGGGACACGUGGUAUCCUGUCUGAAUAUGGGGGACCAUCCUCCAAGGCUAAAUACUCCUGACUGACCGAUAGUGAACCAGUACCGUGAGGGAAAGGCGAAAAGAACCCCGGCGAGGGGAGUGAAAAAGAACCUGAAACCGUGUACGUACAAGCAGUGGGAGCACCUUCGGGUGUGACUGCGUACCUUUUGUAUAAUGGGUCAGCGACUUAUAUUCUGUAGCAAGGUUAACCGUAUAGGGGAGCCGCAGGGAAACCGAGUCUUAACUGGGCGUUAAGUUGCAGGGUAUAGACCCGAAACCCGGUGAUCUAGCCAUGGGCAGGUUGAAGGUUGGGUAACACUAACUGGAGGACCGAACCGACUAAUGUUGAAAAAUUAGCGGAUGACUUGUGGCUGGGGGUGAAAGGCCAAUCAAACCGGGAGAUAGCUGGUUCUCCCCGAAAGCUAUUUAGGUAGCGCCUCGUGAAUUCAUCUUCGGGGGUAGAGCACUGUUUCGGCUAGGGGUCAUCCCGACUUACCAACCCGAUGCAAACUACGAAUACCGAAGAAUGUUAUCACGGGAGACACACGGCGGGUGCUAACGUCCGUCGUGAAGAGGGAAACAACCCAGACCGCCAGCUAAGGUCCCAAAGUCAUGGUUAAGUGGGAAACGAUGUGGGAAGGCACAGACAGCCAGGAUGUUGGCUUAGAAGCAGCCAUCAUUUAAAGAAAGCGUAAUAGCUCACUGGUCGAGUCGGCCUGCGCGGAAGAUGUAACGGGGCUAAACCAUGCACCGAAGCUGCGGCAGCGACACUAUGUGUUGUUGGGUAGGGGAGCGUUCUGUAAGCCUGCGAAGGUGACCUGUGAGGGUUGCUGGAGGUAUCAGAAGUGCGAAUGCUGACAUAAGUAACGAUAAAGCGGGUGAAAAGCCCGCUCGCCGGAAGACCAAGGGUUCCUGUCCAACGUUAAUCGGGGCAGGGUGAGUCGACCCCUAAGGCGAGGCCGAAAGGCGUAGUCGAUGGGAAACAGGUUAAUAUUCCUGUACUUGGUGUUACUGCGAAGGGGGGACGGAGAAGGCUAUGUUAGCCGGGCGACGGUUGUCCCGGUUUAAGCAUGUAGGCUGGUUAUCCAGGCAAAUCCGGAUAAUCAAGGCUGAGGUGUGAUGACGAGGCACUACGGUGCUGAAGUAACAAAUGCCCUGCUUCCAGGAAAAGCCUCUAAGCAUCAGGUAACAUCAAAUCGUACCCCAAACCGACACAGGUGGUCAGGUAGAGAAUACCAAGGCGCUUGAGAGAACUCGGGUGAAGGAACUAGGCAAAAUGGUGCCGUAACUUCGGGAGAAGGCACGCUGGUGUGUAGGUGAAGUCCCUGCGGAUGGAGCUGAGACCAGUCGAAGAUACCAGCUGGCUGCAACUGUUUAUUAAAAACACAGCACUGUGCAAACACGAAAGUGGACGUAUACGGUGUGACGCCUGCCCGGUGCCGGAAGGUUAAUUGAUGGGGUUAUCCGUAAGGAGAAGCUCUUGAUCGAAGCCCCGGUAAACGGCGGCCGUAACUAUAACGGUCCUAAGGUAGCGAAAUUCCUUGUCGGGUAAGUUCCGACCUGCACGAAUGGCGUAAUGAUGGCCAGGCUGUCUCCACCCGAGACUCAGUGAAAUUGAACUCGCUGUGAAGAUGCAGUGUACCCGCGGCAAGACGGAAAGACCCCGUGAACCUUUACUAUAGCUUGACACUGAACAUUGAGCCUUGAUGUGUAGGAUAGGUGGGAGGCUUUGAAGCGUGGACGCCAGUCUGCGUGGAGCCAACCUUGAAAUACCACCCUUUAAUGUUUGAUGUUCUAACGUUGGCCCCUGACCGGGGUUGCGGACAGUGUCUGGUGGGUAGUUUGACUGGGGCGGUCUCCUCCCAAAGCGUAACGGAGGAGCACGAAGGUUAGCUAAUCCUGGUCGGACAUCAGGAGGUUAGUGCAAUGGCAUAAGCUAGCUUGACUGCGAGCGUGACGGCGCGAGCAGGUGCGAAAGCAGGUCAUAGUGAUCCGGUGGUUCUGAAUGGAAGGGCCAUCGCUCAACGGAUAAAAGGUACUCCGGGGAUAACAGGCUGAUACCGCCCAAGAGUUCAUAUCGACGGCGGUGUUUGGCACCUCGAUGUCGGCUCAUCACAUCCUGGGGCUGAAGUAGGUCCCAAGGGUAUGGCUGUUCGCCAUUUAAAGUGGUACGCGAGCUGGGUUUAGAACGUCGUGAGACAGUUCGGUCCCUAUCUGCCGUGGGCGCUGGAGAAUUGAGGGGGGCUGCUCCUAGUACGAGAGGACCGGAGUGGACGCAUCACUGGUGUUCGGGUUGUCAUGCCAAUGGCACUGCCCGGUAGCUAAAUGCGGAAGAGAUAAGUGCUGAAAGCAUCUAAGCACGAAACUUGCCCCGAGAUGAGUUCUCCCUGAGACUUUAAGUCUCCUGAAGGAACGUUAAAGACGAUGACGUUGAUAGGCCGGGUGUGUAAGCGCAGCGAUGCGUUGAGCUAACCGGUACUAAUGAACCGUGAGGCUUAACCUUACAACGCCGAAG
rnacentral:rRNA from 1 species